rnacentral:rRNA from 1 species
AUGGCGGCGGCGAGGGUGCUCCUGCCGGCCUACGCCGCUCUCGUCAUCCUCUUCCUCGUCCUGCCCUCCAGCGCCGCCUCCGGCACCGCCGAUGGGUCGGAGGAGUGGGGAUACGUGGAAGUCCGACCGAAGGCGCACAUGUUCUGGUGGCUCUACCGUAGCCCCCACCGCGUGGACAACGGCAGGGCGCCAUGGCCGACCGUGCUGUGGCUGCAGGGCGGCCCGGGCGCGUCGGGGACGGGCUACGGCAACUUCAUGGAGAUCGGGCCGCUGGACGCGGACCUCAAGCCCCGCGUCACCACCUGGCUCAACAAGGCCGACCUCCUCUUCGUCGACAACCCCGUGGGCACGGGGUUCAGCUUCGUGGAGGGCGGCAACCGGAGCCUGAUGGCGCGCACGGACGCCCAGGCGGCGGGCGACCUGACGGCGCUACUCAUCGAGCUCUACCGCCACAAGACGCGGCUGCAGGGGAGCCCGCUCUACAUCGUGGCCGAGUCCUACGGCGGCAAGUUCGCCGUCACCACUGCCCUCGCCGCGCUCAAGGCCAUCCGCCAAGGACGCCUCAACGCCAAGCUUGGAGGUGUGGCCCUCGGUGAUAGCUGGAUUUCACCCGAGGACUCCGUGUUGUCGUGGGGCCCAUUGCUGUACCAGCUGUCCCGCAUCGACGAGAAGGGACUGCAGCAAUGCGACAGCCUGGCGCAGCAGAUCAAGGCGCAGCUCAAGGCGAAGCAGUACGCGGCGGCGGAGACGUCGUGGGAGAGGCUGGAGUCUGUCGUCCACCAGCAGAGCAACAACGUCAACUUCUACAACAUCCUCAAGGACAACUCGCCGAGGGACGCGGCGGCCGUGAGAAAGGUGGGGUACGCGAGCUACCUGAGCUCCAGGGCGACGAGGGAAGGCGGCCUCGACGGCCUCAUGAACGCCGAGGUCAAGGCCAAGCUCGGCGUCGUCCCCCAAAACUUCACCUGGGGAGAGCAGUCGGGCGACGUGUUCGAGGCCCUCAAAGCCGACUUCAUGAAUCCUAGAAUCCACGAGGUUGACGAGCUCCUGAAACUUGGCGUGGAGGUGACCAUCUACAGCGGACAGCUCGAUCUCAUCUGCGCAACCAAGGGAACACUCGACUGGGUCGAGAAGCUCAAGUGGGAAGGCCUGAAGAAGUUCACGGACGCGCCCAGGAAGCCGGUCUACUGCAAGGGGGGUGAGGCCGCGGCUGGCACCCAGGCCUUCGUCAAGUCGUACAAGAACCUGAAAUUCUACUGGAUACUCGGAUCUGGGCACAUGGUACCCAUCGACAACCCUUGCCCUGCACUCGAGAUGCUGGGUGACAUUACGCAGUCUCCUGCUCGGUAG